rnacentral:lncRNA from 1 species
GACAUAGGCUACAUGGGACAACAAAAACAAGGGACCAGGUAGCUGUGCACCCUGAUCACCCAGGGGGCCGUCGCCGACCAGCAGAGAGAGGUGAGCAAGCUCUGGAGGAGUCCAUUUACUCACCUUUUUAUCUUGGGGUAAAGAAAGCAACAGGACUUCCGUGCAGUAGAUUUCUCAGUGCCUUCUUUAGGAGUUUUAUCUUAAGCACACUCAAUGGGGAGAGAAAAAAGAGGAAAGAACAUUCAUUCCCAGAAAGCCCCUUUCUCUCAAGGCAUCGGGGAUCGAGAAGGAAGAAUGUGACGUUGGUGAAACAGCAAAAUCCUGAGGAGGCCAUUUCCUUUCAACCCACCUGGCUCACCCCUGAGAAUUGCUGGUGACACAGACUUUUUCAGACUGAUUACCCAACCUCUCCUCCACCGUGUCUUGGUAUCUAGAUCUUGGAGUCUAAAAUCUCAUGCAAGAAAGCCUCCCUCUGGCAUUUCUGAGAUUCAGAGGACACCGAAACCCCUUCUGGCUGGCCUGUCACUGCAUCCGGCGCCCUGCUGCUGUGACAUCGAUUGGAUCUGAAGAUCAGAGCACUUUCAGGUUCUCAAAACCCAGAGAAAAUCCUGGGCCUCAGAUAUCAUCCACUUUUAAUCAGUUCUGCAUUUCAACCCGCGUCCAACAGCCUCACCACCACCCUCGGCCAGACAAGCUUGCAGCCAAAUCCUGAGAAGGGACUGUCCCCAGAAUCUGCCAUCUCAUCUCCCCUUCCCUCUCCAGCUACCUGACUCCACAGAGCCAGAGAUUCAUGGCAAGGAUGGUAGUGUUUUUCCAGCUUCCACCUAUCAGGGAGUGUCUGGACUGUACGGAUAAUUCAUUCCACCAGGCGGUUUCCAGGCCUCGGAUAGGCUGGCAACAUCUCGUGAAGCAGCAUCUUCACCAGAAGAUAAUUCUCCAUCCAUCAGUUCGUGCGAGAAGAGAAAGAAAGCCCAGAUCAUCUCCAGCGGGCAUCUGUAGACUGUCAUAUCCCACCUGCCUUGCUGGGCAGGGCUCUGGCCUCUGCCCAGGUCAGAGAUUUGAGCCAAGUCAGGACCCCCUAGAUGGCAGUGAACCAUCGCCCACUGAGUCAUCAACCCCAAGGGGAAGCCAACAGAACAAUGAACGUAUCAUUCUGGUGUGUGUGUUCAUCGCUCAGACGUGCCC